rnacentral:rRNA from 1 species
UACGAAGGGAGCUAGCGUUGUUCGGAAUCACUGGGCGUAAAGCGCACGUAGGCGGAUGUGUCAGUCAGGGGUGAAAUCCCGGAGCUCAACUUCGGAACUGCCUUUGAUACAGCACAUCUGGAGUCCGGAAGAGGUGGGUGGAAUUCCUAGUGUAGAGGUGAAAUUCGUAGAUAUUAGGAAGAACACCGGUGGCGAAGGCGGCCCACUGGUCCGGUACUGACGCUGAGGUGCGAAAGCUAGGGGAGCGAACGGG